rnacentral:piRNA from 1 species
UCUCACGGGAUGUCUGCUGCUUCCUGC